UACGUAGGGUGCGAGCGUUGUCCGGAAUUAUUGGGCGUAAAGAGCUCGUAGGCGGUCUGUCGCGUCUGCUGUGAAAUCCCGAGGCUCAACCUCGGGCUUGCAGUGGGUACGGGCAGGCUAGAGUGCGGUAGGGGAGAAUGGAACUCCUGGUGUAGCGGUGGAAUGCGCAGAUAUCAGGAGGAACACCAAUGGCGAAGGCAGCACUCUGGGACGUGACUGACGCUGAGACGCGAAAGCGUGGGGAGCAAACAGG
rnacentral:rRNA from 1 species